rnacentral:rRNA from 1 species
GCUUAUGGCCAUACCACCCUGAGCACGCCCGAUCUUGUCUGAUCUCGGAAGCUAAGCAGGGCUCGAGCCUGGUUAGUACUUGGAUAGGAGACCGCCUGGGAAUACCAGGUGCUGUAAGCU